rnacentral:rRNA from 1 species
AUGCCGGAGGGAGUGAAUUCUACUUCGAUUGUACUCAUUCCCAAAGUUCCCAACCCGGUAAGAAUUACGGACUAUAGACCCAUUAGUCUGUGUAAUGUUAUUUACAAGGUCAUCUCCAAGUGUCUAGUGAAUAGGAUGAGGCCAUUGUUGGACGAUCUAAUAUCUCCUGAGCAAAGUGCCUUCAUUCCUGGAAGCAUGAUUACAGAUAAUGCACUAGUUGCUUUUGAGUGUAUACAUCAUAUCAAGCAGGAGAAGGACCCUACAAAGAGUUUUUGUGCAUACAAAUUAGAUCUUUCAAAAGCAUAUGACUGA